GUGCAGCAGCCGCGGKAAUACGUAGGGCGCAACGUUAUCCGGAAUUAUUGGGCGUAAAGAGCUCGUAGGCGGUUUGUCGCGUCUGCCGUGAAAGUCCGGGGCUUAACUCCGGAUCUGCGGUGGGUACGGGCAGACUAGAGUGCAGUAGGGGAGACUGGAAUUCCUGGUGUAGCGGUGAAAUGCGCAGAUAUCAGGAGGAACACCGAUGGCGAAGGCAGGUCUCUGGGCUGUAACUGACGCUGAGGAGCGAAAGCAUGGGGAGCGAACAGGAUUAGAUACCCUGGUAGUCCAUGCCGUAAACGUUGGGCACUAGGUGUGGGGGACAUUCCACGUUUUCCGCGCCGGUAGCUAACGCAUUAAGUGCCCCGCCUGGGGAGUACGGCCGCAAGGCUAAAAACUCAAAGGAAUUGACGGGGGCCCGCACAAGCGGCGGAGCAUGCGGAUUAAUUCGAUGCAACGCGAAGAACCUUACCAAGGCUUGACAUGAACCGGAAUGAUGCAGAGAUGUGUCAGCCACUUGUGGCCGGGUUUACAGGUGGUGCAUGGUUGUCGUCGGCUCGUGUCGUGAGAUGUUGGGUUAAGUCCCGCAACGAGCGCAACCCUCGUUCCAUGUUGCCAGCGGGUUAUGCCGGGGACUCAUGGGAAACUGCCGGGGUCAACUCGGAGGAAGGUGGGGACGACGUCAAAUCAUCAUGCCCCUUAUGUCUUGGGCUUCACGCAUGCUACAAUGGCCGGUACAAAGGGUUGCGAUACUGUGAGGUGGAGCUAAUCCCAAAAAGCCGGUCUCAGUUCGGAUUGAGGUCUGCAACUCGACCUCAUGAAGUUGGAGUCGCUAGUAAUCGCAGACCAGCAACGCUGCGGUGAAUACGUUCCCGGGCCUUGUACACACCGCCCGUCAAGUCACGAAAGUUGGUAACACCCGAAGCCGGUGGCCUAACCCCUUGUGGGAGGGAGCCGUCGAAGGUGGGACCGGCGAUUGGACUAAGCCGUAACAAGUAACC
rnacentral:rRNA from 1 species